UGCAGUGCAUUUUAAAAAUUGUUCUUUAUUUCUGUGUCUUAGGGUACUUAAGAAGAUCUCCAGUCUACAGAAAAAGUAAUGGAAGUGCUAAUGGGAGUUGAGGUGUUUAGGGAUCAGUAUCAGCCUCUGGAACAUGUACAAACCUCAGCUUGCAGCUUGGUGGAAAGCUGCUGGCUUUGGAGUUCUCUCUUUUGACCUGGAAAUGUCCUUGCUCUGCUGCUCUGGAGACUCCUGUGCAGGCUGGGGAAGCCUCUGAGUUCUGCUGUCUGUGCUCAGCUUCUGUAAGUGCUGCAGGACUGGCAGUGCAGAGCAGGGGGCUGAUCUGGGACCUCACUCCAAGAUUUCCUCCCCAGUACCCCAUGCAGUGUCAUCAUUUACAGCUCUCCAGCCUGACCAGGACAUAAACCUGCUUCUGUGGAGGAGAUUUGGAGAGUUCCAGUUCAUGGUGAUGUUUAAGAAGUAAAGCUGAACUCAGCCAAAACACAGAAGAAUUGAAGAGGCCCAGUCAUCAGAGGGGAAGAAAAUAGCCUGACAAGUCUACAGAGUAAGGUUGUAGAGAUGUGUCACUUCAUUUUAAUUAAACACCCAUGCAUUCUCACCCACUCGUGUUCUGCUGCUUUGCUGGUGAGUAGAAGGAUUUCCUCAGUGCUACUGUUCACUUUUUGUUCAUUCAUAUUUGAGCUUGCAAAGUGUUUGAAAGCAAUUUAACUUUUCACAUAGAAAUGUCACACAGGUGAAGGCUUUUCUGUGCUAGGGAAAAUGGGAACAGCAUUUACAUUGCAGUGUUGAUUUUGAAGUCCUAGAGCAUGGAAUUCUCCAGAACUGUCCAUUGCCAGUGUGUGGAGCAGCUCUUCCACCUGUUUACCUUCUCAUUUUCCACAUGGUUUUGUUUCUAGCCAGACAUUUUGUCGCCUCACAUGUAUUUCCUGAGGAGCUGAGUGUCUCUGCCAUCAGCUGGCAGUGUGUGUUUGUGUCUCACACCCUUGGGGCUGUGCUGGUGGCUCUGGGGCUGCUCAGGGACAUUGCCCUGCUCACAAUUAGUGAGCCCAGGCAGGGCUGGGCACACACAGCCCCCAGUGCAGCCUCGCUCACGAGUCAUUUACAAUAUUAGGUGGACAAACAUGUCAUGAUGAAGUCCUUGGGAGCCUGUAAGGAGCUGUUUUUUCACAGCCAUUCCUGGUGUGUUGAGAUUAAAUGUCCUGUCACACUGGCUGUGUGUACACUGCCAGGCAGGCCCUGACCUCUCCAGUGGCUGCAAUUAGAAACAAUUUUCAGAUUUAUAUGAUGAGUUUUAUUUCACAGUGUGCAUGUACAGUCCACCCAGAGAAGAAGUUUUUGGGUUUUUUUCCCAAAUUGAACUUGUUCUCUCAAAUGUAACUACAUCUCCAGCUGUCUGCAGAAUACCCUGCACUGUCUGGGAGAACUGUAAAAGAACUGCAAGCUUAUAAAUUCACCUUUUUGCAGUUAUUAAAUGUGCUUGAGUCAUUCCAGGCUGUUGCUGUGGAGAUGGGUACAAUGUAGGAGCCCUGGCACUAUGACAGGCCAUUAAAAUCCCAAGAUGUUUAGCCAUGUCUGAGUAUUUUCACACAGUGAGACCUCUAAGCUUAGCCUGCUGCUGACAUUGUUAGUUACUGAAUCAAUUGCACGAGAUGAGGCUGACAGGUGUAAUUAUGUAUUUCUCUGGUGAUUAUGUAUGGCCUGUCAUAGAGACCAACAUGCCUGUAACUGUGCACUCAUUCAGGAGCCAUUUAUUGAGUGAAGUAUUGGACUUGGCACGCCGUUUACAAGGGGAGGAAAUGUAAAACAAAACAGAAGUUCAUUUUGAAAUAUAAUUGAUUCAUUAAACCAUUUGCCAGUGCUUCAUCUUAGUGCAUGGAAAUACAUCUUUCUGUAUUUCCUACAGAUGUCUCAGUUAUUUAAGGAUAUUCUUGCACCCUGACUUUAACAAAAGAAUAAAACUCAUGUGAUGAAUUCAUGAGAAGCUGGGUCUCAGUCUUGAGCUGCCACGUCCUGGGAGAAGUUGUGGAGCUUGCUGGGACCAUCUGAAUGUGUGACCAUUUGAAAAUAUUUGGCUGACUUGUCAAAAGAGCUCAAAAUCUUUCCAAAUAACUUCCUUUCUCUGCAAACACAUCUGUGCAAUCUUCUUUGUAGUAGCUGUUCUUCAAAACAUGUUAAAAAUUAUACAAAUAUUUUUGGAAUUCACUGAAGUGGACUUGGGUUGUUGCUGGAAUUCCUCAUUCUCUUUUCCAGAUACAUUUUUUCUGUGUAGUGAUGUCACUCAAGGCUGCUGUAUUUUUAUCCAUGUAUUAUUAUCCCUGAUGAUAUGAAUGAAAAGUCUCUGUUUCUCAAAGUGACAGGAGGCAGAGAGAAGUUAAAUAUUCCUCUCAGUUUAUUAAGAGCUCCUUGGACUUGGUUGAAGUCAAGCAAACAAUUUGACUUAUUUUCCUUAUCUGCAUCUCUCUCUGCAAUACAACUGUUACCUCAUCCACAGAAGUUUGGAUGUGGAAGAGAGUGGGGUUAUUUGGUGGUGGUUUUCUUUACUUUUUGGGCUUGUUUGUUUGUUUGUAGUAAAAGACUAGCUGCUUUUAGUGACUCCUUUAACAAAAAGAACCCACUGUCUUUUGCAGAAAAACAGGAUCCAUGUUUUCUUUGGUCUUCCAGAAUGGGCUGAAAAAUGUAAUAGGAGUUUGUGGAUAUAAAUAAUAAAAAAACCAUUUUCCUCUCAUUUUAUAAGAUACAAAGAGAGCCUUUUACAUAAAACUUUCCGUUGUGUUCUUAAUUAACCAUCAUAUUUUUUAUCUUUGUUUUUAACCAAAAUCUGUUUCUCACAGCUUUUGUGAUGGAUAUGAGAUGAUAUCUAUGAGAAAGAGAGAAAGAGUAGAGAUGGUGGGGAUUUAGCCAAAAGAUGAAUAUUUAGAAGACUGUCCUUUGGAAUCCAUAAUUAAACUAUGUUCAAAUGCCAAAAAGCAGAUGCAAACCUAAAGUUUCAUCCCAAAGUUUGGAAGAACCAUUUUUCCCCAGUCUCAUCUGCUUAGAACACAUUGGUUAGAAUUGUCCCAGUAGGAAGCACCUGGGUUAAUAUCUGGCUUUCUAAUCAUGUGCUUGGAAAGUCAACUUUUGCUUUUCCAGAAAACUUCCCAAGUGUGCAGUAAAAGACAUGCUGUUCCAAAAAAAAUAUCCUGAAUAAAGUGAUGUCUGCUGAAUUGAAUUUUGGUUUUUCUAUCACUGAGCUAGACUUUGAGGGCUUUUUAAUUUUUUAUUUUCUUGUAACGAAGUUUCAUUGAAGUAGGAGAAUAUUUGAUGUUGGAAGAGGUCUCUGGAGAUCAUCUCAUCCAACCUCCCUGCUCAAAGGAAGGUGAAUUGGAGCAGGUUGGCCAGGACCAUGUCCAGUUGGGUUUGGAAUAUCUCCAAGGAGAGUUCACUUUUUUAGGUGUUGUGUUCCAGUGAUCAGUCACUCUUACAUGAAAGUUUCUUAGCUCUAAAUGAUACUUGCUGUAUUUUGGACAUUGCUGUAUUUGAAAGACACUGCCUUUCUCUCACUAGACACCAGGAGAAGAGUCUGGCUCUGUCCUUUCCUCCUCCCAUCCAUUUAUAAAAUGGCCUUGACCACGUGGCUCUGACUGCUCCCAUAACUCCCAUUGCUGAUUUUCUAACAUGAUGCAGCCAUAGAUUGGAUCUUUCUUUUCUUUUAAUGUAUUUCUUCAUCAUCUAAAGACUGAACUUUUGAAUACCACUUCUCAUUUGCACGCUGGAUUUGAGGCAAGAGAGCAAGUUUGCUUAUUUAAUAUUUCCUUUGAUUUGGUGAUUAGUGUUUGCUCUUAAUUAUUUUUUACAAUUUCCACAAGUGAUCAGGAAAAGAACAGCUGUCUCACACUUUCAACAAGUUAAAAACAGCCUGUUUAUUAGUCUUUC